UACGUAGGUGGCAAGCGUUGUCCGGAUUUACUGGGCGUAAAGAGCUCGUAGGUGGUUUGUCGCGUUGUUCGUGAAAACUCACAGCUUAACUGUGGGCGUGCGGGCGAUACGGGCAGACUGGAGUACUGCAGGGGAGACUGGAAUUCCUGGUGUAGCGGUGGAAUGCGCAGAUAUCAGGAGGAACACCGGUGGCGAAGGCGGGUCUCUGGGCAGUAACUGACGCUGAGGAGCGAAAGCGUGGGGAGCGAACAGG
rnacentral:rRNA from 1 species